UACAGAGGCCUCGAGCGUUAGGCGGAAUCACUGGGCUUAAAGCGUGUGUAGGCGGAUGCCUACGUGCCUUGGGAAAUCCCACGGCUUAACCGUGGAACUGCUUGGCAUACUGGGUGUCUUGAGCAGCCUAGGGGCGAGCGGAACAGAUGGUGGAGCGGUGAAAUGCGUAGAUAUCAUCUGGAACGCCAAUGGUGAAGACAGCUCGCUGGGGGCUCGCUUACGCUGAGACACGAAAGCCAGGGGAGCGAACGGG
rnacentral:rRNA from 1 species